AUGGACCGUGUAAUGAAGCUAGCAUCUGAGCGUGCCGUGGUGGUGUUCACCCUGAGUCCCUGUUGCAUGUGCCACACAGUGGAGCGUCUGUUUCGUGACCAGCUUGGGGUGAAUGCGCUGGUGCACGAGCUCGACCAGGACCCUAGGGGCAAGGAGAUGGAGAGAGCUCUCCUCAAGAUGCUCGGCAGGGGGCCGUCGGUGCCGGUCGUCUUCAUCGGCGGGAAGCUUGUUGGUGGCACCAACAGGAUCAUGUCUCUACACCUCGGUGGCGAGCUAGUCCCCAUGCUCAAGAAUGCCGGUGCUCUCUGGCUAUAG
rnacentral:rRNA from 1 species